rnacentral:lncRNA from 1 species
AAUAUGUUGUUACUGACAACAUAACGGAGGUCAAGUUCAAUAAUGACGAUUUUUACUUUUACCGUUCAGGAGUUACGGUUCUUGAAAGUUUAAAAAAUGUCGUGUCCGUGCAUUUACUCAUGAACCAGUCAACCAAACCUUUUAAAAUUUUAAUAUGUUGUUACUGACAACAAAAUGGAGAUCAAGUUCAAUAAUGACGAUUUUGACUUUUACCGUUCAGGAGUUACGGUUGUUUGUCCUGCUAGAGGGUCAUUUUCUAUCUAGUUUAUAUGUUGUUAUUGUUGACAACAUGGAAGUCAAGUUUGAUAUUGAUAAUCAUAAAUUUUACCUAUUAGGAGUUUUGGUCCUUGUAAUAUUGAUAAAUGCCAGAACACAAAUAAAUGUUAAAGAAUCCGG